rnacentral:rRNA from 1 species
UACGAAGGGGGCUAGCGUUGCUCGGAAUCACUGGGCGUAAAGGGCGCGUAGGCGGACUUUUAAGUCGGAGGUGAAAGCCCAGGGCUCAACCCUGGAAUUGCCUUCGAUACUGGGAGUCUUGAGUUCGGAAGAGGUUGGUGGAACUGCGAGUGUAGAGGUGAAAUUCGUAGAUAUUCGCAAGAACACCAGUGGCGAAGGCGGCCAACUGGUCCGAUACUGACGCUGAGGCGCGAAAGCGUGGGGAGCGAACAGG